AUUGAACGCUGGCGGCAGGCCUAACACAUGCAAGUCGAACGAGUGGCGGACGGGUGAGUAAUGUCUGGGAAACUGCCUGAUGGAGGGGGAUAACUACUGGAAACGGUAGCUAAUACCGCAUACCAUCGAAUGUGCCCAGAUGUGAUUAGCUUGUAGGUGAGGUAACGGCUCACCUAGGCGACGAUCCCUAGCUGGUUUGAGAGGAUGACCAGCCAUCCUGGAACUGAGACACGGCGCAGAAUCCUACGUGAGGCAGGAGUGGGGAAGAUUGCACAAUGGGGGCAAGCCUGAGCAAGCCAUGCCGCGUGUAUGAAGAAGGCCUUCGGGUUGUAAAGUACUUUCAGCGGGGAGGCGUUACCCGCAGAAGAAGCACCGGCUAACUCCGUGCCAGCAGCCGCGGUAAUAC
rnacentral:rRNA from 1 species